UACGGGGGGAGCAAGCGUUGUUCGGAUUUACUGGCGUGAAAGGGCGCAGGUAGGCGGUCAGCACAAGUCAGUUGUGAAAUCUCCGGGCUUAACUCGGAAAGGUCAACUGACUACUGUGCGACUAGAGUGGCGGAAGGGGCAACUGGAAUUCUCGGUGUAGCGGUAGAAAUGCGUAGAUAUCGAGAGGAACACCUGCGGCGAAGGCGGGUUGCUGGGCCGACACUGACGCUGAUGCGCGAAAGCCAGGGGAGGCGAACGGG
rnacentral:rRNA from 1 species